GACGUAGGGCGCGAGCGUUGUCCGGAUUUAUUGGGCGUAAAGAGCUCGUAGGCGGCUUGUCGCGUCGACUGUGAAAACUUGGGGCUCAACCAUGUGGUCUGCAGUCGAUACGGGCAGGCUAGAAUUCGGUAGGGGAGACUGGAAUUCCUGGUGUAGCGGUGAAAUGCGCAGAUAUCAGGAGGAACACCGGUGGCGAAGGCGGGUCUCUGGGCCGAUAUUGACGCUGAGGAGCGAAAGCGUGGGGAGCGAACAGG
rnacentral:rRNA from 1 species